CGAACGCUGGCGGCGUGCUUCACACAUGCAAGUCGAACGGAAAGGCCCUGCUUUUGUGGGGUGCUCGAGUGGCGAACGGGUGAGUAACACGUGAGUAACCUGCCCUUGACUUUGGGAUAACUUCAGGAAACUGGGGCUAAUACCGGAUAGGAGCUCCUGCUGCAUGGUGGGGGUUGGAAAGUUUCGGCGGUUGGGGAUGGACUCGCGGCUUAUCAGCUUGUUGGUGGGGUAGUGGCUUACCAAGGCUUUGACGGGUAGCCGGCCUGGGAGGGUGACCGGCCACAUUGGGACUGAGAUACGGCCCAGACGCCUACGGGAGGCAGCAGUGGGGAAUAUUGCACAAUGGGCGGAAGCCUGAUGCAGCAACGCCGCGUGCGGGAUGACGGCCUUCGGGUUGUAAACCGCUUUCGCCUGUGACGAAGCGUGAGUGACGGUAAUGGGUAAAGAAGCACCGGCUAACUACGUG
rnacentral:rRNA from 1 species